rnacentral:rRNA from 1 species
UGUUGGUUUCUCCCUUCUGACGAACCAUGAUGUCAUUUAUUUGGUGUUGUGGGGAAUCAGGACUGUUACCUUGAAAAAAUUAGAGUGUUUAAAGCAGGCUCACGCUUGAAUACAUUAGCAUGGAAUAAUGAAAUAGGACGUUUGAUUCUAUUUUGUUGGUUUCUAGGAUCGACGUAAUGAUUAAUAGGGAUAGUUGGGGGCAUUAGUAUUCAAUUGUCAGAGGUGAAAUUCUUGGAUUUAUUGAAGACUAACUACUGCGAAAGCAUUUGCCAAGGAUGUUUUCAUUAAUCAAGAACGAAAGUUAGGGGAUCGAAGACGAUCAGAUACCGUCGUAGUCUUAACCAUAAACUAUGCCGACUAGGGAUCGGAUGAUGUUAAUUUUUUAAUGACUCAUUCGGCGCCUUACG